rnacentral:lncRNA from 1 species
CUCUGUGUCAACCUUCUUUUAUUUUUAAAAGAUAUUCACUGUCUCUUACUAAAGCUUCCUGUUCAAAGUCUGGCUGAGAAUUUUUGCUGCUUCUUUCCCUACCUCCUCAUUUCCGAAGGAGGUACCUUUCUGGCUUCUCUGUUGAACAUUUCCUAAAUAAAGUGUGGAUGAAAAGCAAUAGAGGAAGGAAAUGCAGAAAAUUAUAAGGCUGAAAUAGAAACUGGCCACAGCAGAGAUUAAAGGUUCUUCAUUAAUUUAGACAACUUAAGGGUAUCCUGAGGAGAUGAGAUCAGGACCUUCAGAUUACGAGACUCACGCCCUGCUGGCUGCGCUAAGAGGGCUCCUGAGGAGAUGAGAUCAAACAUAGGAAGAAAAAUGGAGUCUCCAAGAUGUCCACAUUUGAAUCUCUGGAACCUGUGAAUAUGUUACUUUAUAUGGCAAAAGGAACUUUGCAGGUGUGAGAAAAGUUGAGGACCUUGAGAUGGGGAGAUCAUCCUGGAUUAUUUGAAUAAGCCCAAAUUCAUCAAAUGAAUUCUUAAAAGAACCUUUCCUCUGAGAUGAGAGUCUGAGGGAGAUGUGGCUAUGGAAGAAUGGUCAGAGAGCAAUGCAAAGCUGCUGGCUGUGAAGAUGGAAGAAGGGGCCAUAAGCCAAGAAAUAUGGUUGGUUUCUAGGAGCUGGAAGAGGCAAGAAGACAUAUUCUCCUCUAGACCCUCCAGAAGAAAUGCAGCCUCACUGACACCUUAAUUUUAGCCCUGAAAGACCCAUUUCAGAACUCUGACCUACAGAACUGUAAGAUUGUAAGUUUGUAGUGUUUUAAGCCACUAAAUUUAUGGUAAUUUAUUAUAGCAGUAACAGAAAAUCAAUAUAUGCUUUAUGCAGGUAGUACUAAAUUACAUAUUGCAGGUUUAUGUUUGUUUGAGGACAGCUCUUUCUUUAUUUUUAGAGAUAGCACCUUGCUCUGUCACCAGGCCGGAGUGCAGCAGUGUGUUGAUAGCUCACUGGAACCUCAAAUUCCUGGGCUUAAUCCAUCUUCCCACCUAUAUCUCCCACAUGCAUGUAGCUAGGACUAGAUGCAUGUGCCAGCA